AUGAGGCUAAGCGGCGGAGACAGAGGGAGAAGGCGGAGAGCCUGGUGGAGGAGCAGGGCGAGCGUCAGCCAUGUUGUGUGUGUGUGUGUGUGUGUGUGCGUGUGUUGGUCCAGUAUUUACAAACCUGCAGCUGCAGCAGCGCUCGGAGCGAGGGGAAGGAAGGGAGGGAGGGAGCAGGGCGAGGAAGAAGGGAGGGAGGGAGAGAGGGAGGAGAGCGCGAGAGGCACCGGGAGAGCGAGGGCAGGGAGGGAAGGAGGGAGGGAGGAGGGGAACAGCGGCGGCAGACAAAGGAUCCCCGCACACACACACACACACUCACACACACACACUCACACACACUCACACACCCGCUCGGGGCGCCUCGCCCCCGCUACCCCGGGGGCCGCAGCCGUGCGGGCGGCCCCUCGGCGGGCCCCAGCCCGGCGGUGCAGUGCAACGGCUGGGCGGCGGAGGGGAAGGGGAAGGGGAGGGUGUGCUGUGUUAGGGGGGGGGGUUGGGGGUGCACUGCCCGCCCUCCCCGCCGCGGGGGCCGGGCGCCGAGCGGGGCCGCAGAGCACGGAAGGGUGGCGGUGGCGGGGCCGGGGGCGGAGCGGGGAGGAGGGCAGGGUGCGGGCCCCGGGGGAGGGGAGGGGAAGGGAAGGGAAGGGGAGAGAGGGGAGGGAGGGGAGGGGAGAUGAGGCCGGGCCGGGAGCGGCGGCGGCUCCCUCCCCGCACAGCGACUCCCUCCGGCCCUGCCCGGUACUGGGCCCGGCCCCCCCCCGCCGCCUCCCCCCCGCCGCUCACCUGCCGCCGGGGCGGGCGGCCCGGGGGUGCCAGCGCUGCUGCAGCCGCCCCCCCCGCGCCUGGCCUCGCCGUGCCUGGCCUGGCCUCGCCGCUCAGCUCAGCUCCUCCGCGGCGGCAGCGGGCUCGGCCGCUCCCCUCGUCUCGCCUGCCCCCCGCCGCCGCCGUCGCCGCCGCCGCCUCCUCCUGUUCGGCUCUGCCACAUUUGGAGCCCCCCGCUGCCUACGCCAGCGCAGCCGGCAGGAUAGAGGCCUGCUCACCUUCCUGCCAAAUAGUGAGCCAACCGCAGCCGCCCGUUCAAAACAGGGCCGGGCCCCGCCCUCCGCCGCCCCCCCUCCCUCCCGGCCUCCGCGCAGGCGCACUGCGCCGGCACAACUGCGACAGGAGCGCAGGGAGCGCGCCCCGCCCCUCCCCGCAGCGCGCAUGCGCGGCCGCUUCGCCCGCCGCCCCCUCCUGCCCUGUUACUGGGCGCCUCAGCGCACCCCCCCUUCUCUGUCCGUCAGCCCCGGGGGGGGGCAGGGGGGGGCGGGGGGGGGGGGAGGUGGCGGGAGGAGGGCAAGGAGACCUCGGAAGGGCGAAGGCUGCGCUUGGCAUGAGGCUGCCUUCGUGUCGGAGGAGCGGUGGCAUCGCUUCGUGGGAUGGCGGAGCGGGUCCCUCAGCGCGGUGCCCGACAAGUGUCCUCUUUUGCUUCCAUGCAGCAGGGAGGAAAACAGAGCGUGUGUGCGUGUGGAGCAGGGGUGCACCUCCAGAAUCCCAGGCAAACAGCAGCAAGAGCCUUAG
rnacentral:lncRNA from 1 species